rnacentral:rRNA from 1 species
AUACGGAGGGUCCGAGCGUUAAUCGGAAUUACUGGGCGUAAAGCGCGCGUAGGUGGUUCAGUCAGUCAGAUGUGAAAGCCCCGGGCUCAGCCUGGGAACUGCACCUGAUACUGCUGAGCUAGAGUACGGUAGAGGGCAGUGGAAUUUCCGGUGUAGCGGUGAAAUGCGUAGAGAUCGGAAGGAACACCAGUGGCGAGGGCGACUGCCUGGACUGAUACUGACACUGAGGUGCGAAAGCGUGGGUAGCAAACAGGAUUAGAUACCCUGGUAGUCCACGCCGUAAACGAUGUCAACUAGCCGUUGGGGGACUUGAUCCUUUAGUGGCGAAGCUAACGCGAUAAGUUGACCGCCUGGGGAGUACGGCCGCAAGGUUAAAACUCAAAUGAAUUGGCGGGG